GAUGAACGCUGGCGGCGUGCCUAAUACAUGCAAGUCGAGCGAACAGAUGAGGAGCUUGCUCCUCUGACGUUAGCGGCGGACGGGUGAGUAACACGUGGAUAACCUACCUAUAAGACUGGGAUAACUUCGGGAAACCGGAGCUAAUACCGGAUAAUAUAUUGAACCGCAUGGUUCAAUAGUGAAAGACGGUUUUGCUGUCACUUAUAGAUGGAUCCGCGCCGCAUUAGCUAGUUGGUAAGGUAACGGCUUACCAAGGCAACGAUGCGUAGCCGACCUGAGAGGGGGAUCGGCCACACUGGAACUGAGACACGGUCCAGACUCCUACGGGAGGCAGCAGUAGGGAAUCUUCCGCAAUGGGCGAAAGCCUGACGGAGCAACGCCGCGGGAGUGAAGAAGGGCUUCGGAUCGUAAAACUCUGUUAUUAGGGAAGAACAAAUGUGUAAGUAACUAUGCACGUCUUGAAGGUACCUAAUCAGAAAGCCACGGCUAACUUCGGG
rnacentral:rRNA from 1 species